AAAUAGAUACCCGGGUAGUCCACGCCGUAAACGAUGAGUGCUAAGUGUUAGAGGGUUUCCGCCCUUUAGUGCUGCAGCUAACGCAUUAAGCACUCCGCCUGGGGAGUACGGUCGCAAGACUGAAACUCAAAGGAAUUGACGGGGGCCCGCACAAGCGGUGGAGCAUGUGGUUUAAUUCGAAGCAACGCGAAGAACCUUACCAGGUCUUGACAUCCUCUGACAACUCUAGAGAUAGAGCGUUCCCCUUCGGGGGACAGAGUGACAGGUGGUGCAUGGUUGUCGUCAGCUCGUGUCGUGAGAUGUUGGGCUAAGUCCCGCAACGAGCGCAACCCUUGAUCUUAGUUGCCAGCAUUUAGUUGGGCACUCUAAGGUGACUGCCGGUGACAAACCGGAGGAAGGUGGGGAUGACGUCAAAUCAUCAUGCCCCUUAUGACCUGGGCUACACACGUGCUACAAUGGAUGGUACAAAGGGCUGCAAGACCGCGAGGUCAAGCCAAUCCCAUAAAACCNUUCUCAGUUCGGAUUGUAGGC
rnacentral:rRNA from 1 species